UCUUUUCGGUCUGAGUUGUAUGUAAUUAACAAAACGGUGCUGCCAAGAUGUAGAAACAAAACGGUAAUAUAUUUCGUGAUAUUACAAAAUCCCGCGAUAGGAUAGAUUAUCUCGCGAGAUCUCGCGUUCUUCCGGAACAUUGAGCAAGCACGAGAAGAGGACUCGAUGAGGGAGAUGUAUCGAUAUAUAUUAUGCAAAAUCUACUGUUGGAUGCUGUGAAGAGGUGGAGACUCUGAAGUGGAUGCAGCAAUGGCAGAACACCUGAAGCACGCUCCAGGAAGAGCUGAGGCUGGUGGAUACAAGAAAUGAGCCAAACAACUGUAAUGUGUUUAAGGGAUAGUUCAUCCAAAAAUCAAAAUAGUCAUAAUUUUUCUCACCCUCAUGUGUCAAACCUAUAUACCGUUCUAUGUUCUGCUGAACACAAAGAUGUUUGGAAGAAUGUUUGUAACCAAGCAGAUCUCGCCUCCUAUUAACUAUCAUAAUAAUUUCUCCUACAAAGGUAGUAAAUGGGUUGUGAGAUCUGCUUGGUUACAAACAUUCUUCCAAAUAUCUUUGUUUAUUAGACAACUGUGUAAGUUAGUGACAAGAUUAAUAAAGACAUGAUAAAAAGAAACCGACUUUUAACAUUCUAGUAGAAAACACGUAAACGCAUUCUCAGAAAUGUAAUAUUUGAAUUCAUGUCGGUUCUAUACAGUUUAAAAUCAUUUACACCACUUUGAUUUUAUAAAUAGCAAUGAUUUCAAACAUAUUUUAUGAUGAGGGUCUUCUGUUUUAUGAUUUUCUUGUCACAUGACAACAAUGGCUUCUGCAAGGUGGUUAUGCCACAUGUUCAAAUAUUAAUAAUAUUCUUAAUAUUAUUUAUAUGAUUAAAGUAUUUAAAAAUAAAUGCAAUUAAAUAAUAUUGUUUAAUAUUAUUAUAUAUUAAACACAUUAAUAAAAAAAUACUGUGAAAAUUGAAUUUUUUGGCAAUAAUAAUGGACUUCAAGAUUGAGUAUUUCAGCACUUUUUAUUCAAUGACCGUCAUUAAAUCAUAUUUCUGACGAAAAUGGUAGGCCUGUAAACUUAUUUCAGAAAUCCAAAAUGGAUACAAAGAUUACAUUGAAAAACUAAUUUUUUAAAUAGAUUUUUAUCAUCUUGAAUAUUCUUUUGUCUUUGUCCCAGUAAAGCAAACAUGAAAACAAUAUCAUCAGAACAUAGAAAGGUAUACAGUUUUGAAACAUGAGGGUGAGUAAAUUACAGAAUUUUCCCUUUAUAUAAUAAUUCAGUAUUUUGUAAUUGGUAUUUUAGUGUGGUUAACAGAUGCUAAACUGUUCAAUAACAAUAAAAUGUGCUAAAUCAGAA
ensembl:lncRNA